rnacentral:rRNA from 1 species
AGAGCGAACGCUGGCGGCAUGCUUAACACAUGCAAGUCGCACGGGCACUUCGGUGUCAGUGGCGGACGGGUGAGUAACGCGUAGGUAUCUAUCCUUGGGUGGGGGACAACUGUGGGAAACUACAGCUAAUACCGCAUGAUAACUGAGGUUUAAAGGCGCAAGUCGCCUGGGGAGGAGCCUGCGUACGAUUAGCUUGUUGGUGGGGUAAAGGCCUACCAAGGCGACGAUCGUUAGCUGGUCUGAGAGGAUGAUCAGCCACAUUGGGACUGAGACACGGCCCAAACUCCUACGGGAGGCAGCAGUGGGGAAUAUUGGACAAUGGGCGAAAGCCUGAUCCAGCAAUGCCGCGUGUGUGAAGAAGGUCUUCGGAUUGUAAAGCACUUUCGACGGGGACGAUGAUGACGGUACCCGUAGAAGAAGCCCCGGCUAACUUCGUGCCAGCAGCCGC